UGGGGGAAACCCUGAUGCAGCGACGCCGCGUGGAGGAAGAAGGUCUUCGGAUUGUAAACUCCUGUUGUUGAGGAAGAUAAUGACGGUACUCAACAAGGAAGUGACGGCUAACUACGUGCCAGCAGCCGCGGUAAAACGUAGGUCACAAGCGUUGUCCGGAAUUACUGGGUGUAAAGGGAGCGCAGGCGGGAAGACAAGUUGGAAGUGAAAUCCAUGGGCUCAACCCAUGAACUGCUUUCAAAACUGUUUUUCUUGAGUAGUGCAGAGGUAGGCGGAAUUCCCGGUGUAGCGGUGGAAUGCGUAGAUAUCGGGAGGAACACCAGUGGCGAAGGCGGCCUACUGGGCACCAACUGACGCUGAGGCUCGAAAGUGUGGGUAGCAAACAGGAUUAGAUACCCUGGUAGUCCACACCGUAAACGAUGAUUACUAGGUGUUGGAGGAUUGACCCCUUCAGUGCCGCAGUUAACACAAUAAGUAAUCCACCUGGGGAGUACGACCGCAAGGUUGCAAAGG
rnacentral:rRNA from 1 species